GAGCGGUUUUUCCUUCCAGGUUAUUCCCGGGUUGUUCCUCCGGCGCUGCAUCCCUGAGGAUGGAGCAUCCUCCCCCUCCUCCCUCCCGGCUCCAUUUCCCCCUGGAUCCAUUCCCUGCAUCCCUUCAAGGCUGAGGGCUUUUUCUUCCCGGUUUUUCCCGGUUAUUCCCGGUUAUUCCCGGUUAUUCCUGGUUAUUCCCGGUUAUUCCCGGUUAUUCCCAGGUUAUUCCCGGUUAUUCCCGGUUAUUCCUGGUUAUUCCCGGUUAUUCCCGGUUAUUCCCAGGUUAUUCCCGGUUAUUCCCAGGUUAUUCCCGGGUUAUUCCCAGGUUAUUCCCGGUUAUUCCCGGUUAUUCCCAGGUUAUUCCCAGGUUAUUCCCGGUUAUUCCCAGGUUAUUCCCAGGUUAUUCCCGGUUAUUCCUGGUUAUUCCCAGGUUAUUCCCGGUUAUUCCCGGUUAUUCCCGGUUAUUCCCGGUUAUUCCCGGUUACUCCUGGUUAUUCCCAGGUUAUUCCCGGUUAUUCCCGGUUAUUCCCAGGUUAUUCCCAGGUUAUUCCCGGGUUAUUCCCGGGUUAUUCCCAGGUUAUUCCCAGGUUAUUCCCGGGUUAUUCCCAGGUUAUUCCCGGGUUAUUCCCAUGUUAUUCCCAGGUUUUUCCCAGCUCGUCCCGUGCCUUUUCCCGGGGGCUCCAUCCCGUAGGAUCUGAGCAUCCAUUGCUCCAUUUCCUCCUCCACCUUUCCAUCCCUGCCCUCCCAACGCCGGAGGUUUUUCCUUCCCGGUUAUUCCCAGGUUUUUCCGUGGUUCCAUGUCCUUUCCAGGGGGGGCUGCAUCCCGUGGGAUUUCAGCAUUCCCGGAGCCCCCCCUGCUCCUUUUCCCCCCCUCGCGUUUCCAUCCCCGCAUCCCCUCAAGGCAGGGAUGGUUCCUUCCCGGUUAUUCCCAGGUUUUCGUGCCUUUCCCGGGGCUGCAUCCCGGAGGAUUUGGGGAUCCCGGAGCACCGGGGGAACCCCCCUGUUCCCUUUUUCCCAGCCCACAUUUCCAUCCCCGCAAGGCUGAGGGUUAUUCCCGGUUUUCCUGUGGAUCCGUGCCUUUCCCGGGGCUGCAUCCCGGAGGAUUUGGGGAUCCCGGGGCACCGGGAGAGCUCCCCCCGCUCCCGUUCCCAUCCCCGCAAGGUCAGGGAAUGUUUCUUCCCGUUCGUUCCCAGCCCGGGGGACACGGAGGGGACACAGGAGGGACACAGGAGGGGACACGGAGGGGACACAGAGGGGACAGGAGAAGGGGCACAGGGGACACAGAGGGGACACAGGGGCACAGGGGACACAGAGGGGACACACAGGGGACACAGGGGACAGGAGAGGGGACACACAGGGAACACACAGGGGACAGGAGAAGGGACACAGAGGGGACACAGGGGACAGGAGAGGGGACACAGAGGGGACACAGGGGACAGGAGAGGGGACACACAGGGGACACAGGGGACAGGAGAGGGGACACACAGGGGACACAC
rnacentral:lncRNA from 1 species